rnacentral:snRNA from 1 species
GGAUGUGAGGACCAUCUGGAGUCACUCCAUUGAUUGAGCUGAUCUGGCUGACUAGGCAGAUGUCUCCUCCUCUCUCACUACUCCAGUGUUCGUCCCUCCUCCUUCUGUCAAGAUAGAAUAGCUGCACUCCCCUGCUAGAACUUUCAAACAAGCUCUCAAGAAUUUAUUUUCAGUUCCAGGACAACCAGAGCUAUACAGAGAAACGCUGACACAAAAACAAGAAUGACUUUUUUUUUUUUUUUUUUUUUUUUUUUACUUU